UACAGAGGUCUCAAGCGUUGUUCGGAUUUAUUGGGCGUAAAGAGCUCGUAGGUGGUUCGGUAAGUCGGAUGUGAAAUCUCCAGGCUCAACCUGGAGGGGUCAUUCGAUACUGCCGUGACUAGAGUUCGGUAGGGGAGUGUGGAAUUCCUGGUGUAGCGGUGAAAUGCGCAGAUAUCAGGAAGAACACCCGUGGCGAAGGCGGCUCUCUGGGACGGUACUGACGCUGAGACGCGAAAGCGUGGGGAGCGAACAGG
rnacentral:rRNA from 1 species